AGUGAACGCUGGCGGUAGGCCUAACACAUGCAAGUCGAACGGCAGCACAGUAAGAGCUUGCUCUUACGGGUGGCGAGUGGCGGACGGGUGAGGAAUACAUCGGAAUCUACUUUUUCGUGGGGGAUAACGUAGGGAAACUUACGCUAAUACCGCAUACGACCUACGGGUGAAAGCAGGGGAUCUUCGGACCUUGCGCGAUUGAAUGAGCCGAUGUGGGAUUAGCUAGUUGGCGGGGUAAAGGCCCACCAAGGCGACGAUCCGUAGCUGGUCUGAGAGGAUGAUCAGCCACACUGGAACUGAGACACGCUCCAGACUCCUACGGGAGGCAGCAGUGGGGAAUAUUGGACAAUGGGCGCAAGCCUGAUCCAGCCAUACCGCGUGGGUGAAGAAGGCCUUCGGGUUGUAAAGCCCUUUUGUUGGGAAAGAAAAGCAGCAGGUUAAUACCCCGCUGUUCUGACGGUACCCAAAGAAUAAGCACCGGCUAACUUCGUG
rnacentral:rRNA from 1 species